CCCUUAGAUGUUCUGGGCCGCACACGCGCUACACUGAAGGAGGCAGCGUGUACUCCUGGAUCGAAAGAUUUGGGUAACCCGCGAAUCUCCUUCGUGCUAGGGAUUGAGGUUUGCAAUUAUCCUUCAUGAACGAGGAAUUCCCAGUAAGUGCAAGUCAUAAGCUUGCGCUGACUACGUCCCUGCCCUUUGUACACACCGCCCGUCGCUACUACCGAUUGAAUGGUCCGGUGAAAUUCUCGGACGCGGACUUGCGAUGUUAAUUCGGAGCUUGACUGUGAAAGUUAAUUAAACCUUACCAUUUAGAGGAAGGUGAAGUCGUANCA
rnacentral:rRNA from 1 species